rnacentral:rRNA from 1 species
UGCAAGUCGAACGAUGAAGCCCAGCUUGCUGGGUGGAUUAGUGGCGAACGGGUGAGUAACACGUGAGUAACCUGCCCUUGACUCUGGGAUAAGCCUGGGAAACUGGGUCUAAUACUGGAUAUGACUUCUCACCGCAUGGUGGGGGGUGGAAAGAUUUAUUGGUCUUGGAUGGACUCGCGGCCUAUCAGCUUGUUGGUGAGGUAAUGGCUCACCAAGGCGACGACGGGUAGCCGGCCUGAGAGGGUGACCGGCCACACUGGGACUGAGACACGGCCCAGACUCCUACGGGAGGCAGCAGUGGGGAAUAUUGCACAAUGGGCGCAAGCCUGAUGCAGCGACGCCGCGUGAGGGAUGACGGCCUUCGGGUUGUAAACCUCUUUCAGUAGGGAAGAAGCGAAAGUGACGGUACCUGCAGAAGAAGCGCCGGCUAACUACGUGCCAGCAGCCGCGGUAAUACGUAGGGCGCGAGCGUUAUCCGGAAUUAUUGGGCGUAAAGAGCUCGUAGGCGGUUUGUCGCGUCUGCCGUGAAAGUCCGGGGCUUAACCCCGGAUCUGCGGUGGGUACGGGCAGACUAGAGUGCAGUAGGGGAGACUGGAAUUCCUGGUGUAGCGGUGAAAUGCGCAGAUAUCAGGAGGAACACCGAUGGCGAAGGCAGGUCUCUGGGCUGUAACUGACGCUGAGGAGCGAAAGCAUGGGGAGCGAACAGGAUUAGAUACCCUGGUAGUCCAUGCCGUAAACGUUGGGCACUAGGUGUGGGGGACAUUCCACGUUUUCCGCGCCGUAGCUAACGCAUUAAGUGCCCCGCCUGGGGAGUACGGCCGCAAGGCUAAAACUCAAAGGAAUUGACGGGGGCCCGCACAAGCGGCGGAGCAUGCGGAUUAAUUCGAUGCAACGCGAAGAACCUUACCAAGGCUUGACAUGUUCCUGAC